UAGAACUUUUAGCGUCCCCUCAAACCUCUCAAAGAAUCCUUUGUUUUUCGAUGAUGUAAUCAAACAAACCAAAAUCAUGUAGGAUUGAGAUGAGCAUAACAUUUCAAUCCCAUGCUUUUUCUGUUCCUGCGAUUUUAGAAUCCUACGCAUCAAAGAGCACCUUACUUCAUCCUCAAGGUAGCUCGUUUUCUUGUCCGGGCAAAUUGGGGAAAAACUGGCAACCAGCUCCAAGCCUCCGACAGAUCGCCAUUUCCUUUCGCUUACACCACCACACAUCAGGGUGAGUUUCCACACGCAGACUUACAAAUCGAUAGGAAAAGGAAAAAAAAACUAGUACAGUUUCAGAAACACUAAAAUUAUUCGCUCCAACGCAAUCAGCAAAGUGCAGAUUGAUAGGAAACAUGAUGAUCAUCAUUCAUGGGCCGGGACACUGGCAAGUCUUGACGCAAUCGUCUCUGUGCUUGUAGCACGGGCCACCCCAGCAAGGACCAUCGCAGCACCACUUGAAUGCAUUUGGCGGAAAUAUGGCGUAGCGACAACGAUAGCUCACAUCCGUUAUGUUGAUCCCCAUCUUGUCGAUGCUCUGUCCUAAGAGAAAGAAAAUUGAAGUAGUUACAAUAUAUUCUCCCAAUAACAAGAUAAGUAGAUUUAUUCUGUAUAUGAAGUCAUAAAGUCUACAUGGAAAACCACUCUGGAUCUGAUCUUUCCAUGGGGUUGAUGAAGCAACUUUGAACAUACCGAUGACCACUCGAAAUAACAGACUUUAAUUGUUAAUUUUACCGUAUAUCGGCGGAGGAGUGGCCAAGCAAAUCACAAGAACCAACGAAAGUAGUAGGAGAGCUUGGCCAUUGUGCUUGAUGUGCUUCGCCAUGGUGUGAGAGAUUCACUGGGUCUUGGUUAUGUAUCCUUUACUUGCUGUUCAUUGCAGUGUAUGCAGAGCCUCACACAUAG
rnacentral:lncRNA from 1 species